AUGCGAUCACCCGUCAAAGAAUCACCAAGCUCUAAUCGCUCCAGCCCGGAGCGAAGUGCGUUUGCACCGAUCAAACAAUUCAGAACGAGCCCAGAAAUUAAGAAAACCACGGAACCCUCAUAUCCAGCAGAAAAAUUGCGGAAAACCUCUAAUACAGCCCCGACUACAGACACUCCCGUGGGUCGAAAACCUUCACUGAAAAGAUCCUCACCCACUAAAGUUUCCUCUCCAACCAGGAGUGUAUCAUCAAGUGCCUCUCCUGCGUCUAGUCCCGAGAGGAGAAGUCCUCAGAAUAAGAUCAGAAACCCUUCCGCUUCAGCUCCCGUUUCCGAGGAAACUGAAGUAAUUGAAUCAACUCAAGAAACACGAAUCACAAGAAAAACUUCAGUUCCGCGCUCAAACUCAAAACAGAGCCUUACCAAGAAACAACCCGAAAAGUCCGUCAAAGAUAGAGUGACGCAAGGAACACGUAUUCCUUCCUCAACAGAUCUCAGAAGUUCUUCCGUCACUCGUAAAACCAACCGAGCAUCUGAAACAAUCACUAUCACUAAAAAAGCGCCGUCAAAACCAACAGAGGUCACAAGAACUCCUCAAAGAGGUCCUUCAAAUCCAAAUCUUAAAACUGUGAAAACAACGCUCACCACAACGGUUAACGCGUCUCCAAGGUAUAGCUCCCCUGUCCGAAAACCAGGCACUCCGACUCAAAUAGCUCGAUUGAAACCAAGCCCCGUGCGAGGAACGGGACCCUCCAGCACCACCGCUAAUAGAGUAACAUCAAGAAGCGAGGUGACAGUAACCGUGUCACCUUCCAGAAAGACAGCUCCAAAGAAAGAAACUCCGAGCAUGAAACCCAGAAGCCAUGAGGCACCUAGACGCCCCGAAUCUCCCCUACGGAAACCAACUACUUUCUCAAAGGAUGCUAAGACCAGUUCUCUUCGAGCUUUGCAAUUGAUUUGCUCUCAAGAAAUAAAUAAAACCGAGAAUGUUGACGACUUUGAAUAUGAAGUUGACAUCGAUGAAAAUAACCUUGAAGACGAGCUCCCACCAGAUGAUUUUGCGAGUGACGUGACUGACCGUGAAAAUGUCAGAACAACUAGCAGGAGUGUGGUCACUAAAACUGUAACUACAAAGGUGACGCCGGCAAAGAAACCAUCUGUUCAAGCUCUUAAAUCUGAUAAUAAAUACAACAGAUCGUCAAAUGAAAAAUUGAUUUCAAGAUUAGCAACUCCUAAGAAACAGCCGACAAAACCAGAAAUUGUAACUCCUAAAAGUAGUCGAGUGCCAACUAAAGUUAGUCCUGGGAAAACUCCAGUAGAAAAAAAAGCGCCGCUAACGAAGAAAGGUUCAACUGGCAGCACAACCGGUAGUAAGAAAACAAUUAUCAAAAAGUCGUCGAAGGAUAGUAUCAAGCGAGUGGACGAUGACUCUUCUUCUUGUUCAGAGGAUGAGUUGCAUGAUGUAUCAAUUACAGUUGAUAGUUCAGAAAGAGACCAGAAGUACGUGGAAGAACUGGAAGAAAUCAGACGCCGAGAUGAAUCUGAACAUGGGUCUAAAGUUUUUGCGACAAGCAACAAAGAUUCAUCUUUGUUAUCUGUUAUUGUCCAGCUACCCUCGUCGUCAAGAGAGUCUUCUCCUGACUAUGCUAGCCGCUCACAGUACUCAGCUGCUGUUAGCGAUGACGGCAGUGAGAAACCUGUGAGGUACGCUGAUAGGGUUAGCGAGCCAGAAGACUCCGAUGUCAACAUGAAGGUAAAAUCUGCUGACUUUCUUCGUGCUGAAGGUCGCAUAUAUGAACAAGUUACUGAUCUGGACGAAGAGUCUGAGUCUGAAACUACGAAAGUGGACGUGUCUGUGGCUGAUCGUGUAUCAAAAUUCUUACAGUCCACAAAAACUUCUAACACUACAACAACUUCCACCACUGAAGUUCAGAACAAGAAAGAUAAAUCUGUUUUGAAAGCAGCCGCCCUCUUCGAUAAAAUUGUUGAAGACCAGUACGUCCCCGUAGGUCCUAGUAACAAAGUAAUUGAUAUAUACAGUAAACAAUUCCCAGGACACGAAGCCGUUACCGUCGAAGAUCGAUCAGACCAAUAUCAAGAAAUUCUAGAAUCCGUACUUGAUAUUGAUGGUAGGAGACGAUCAUCAGUGAAUGUUGAUGAAACAGACGACGCUGCCCCAACACGGACUUUGGAUAGGCGACAGUCGUCGGUUGCGUCCAUUAACAAAGAUGACUACAAAGCGUCAAUUAAGGCUUUCGAAAAGAGACGCUCCUCCGUUAAUGUAAACGACGUAGCAGCUGCUACUAAGUUGUCUGAGAAAAGGCGAUCAUCAGUGAAACCUGAAGAUGUUACGCCAGUUUCGAAAACCUACGAGAGCAGGAAGUCAUCCGUAAAACCUGAGGAUGUCGCCCCGGUAUCGAAAACUUAUGAUAGUAGAAGGUCUUCCGCGAAUGUAGAGAAGGUUGUUUCUUCCACCAGCGUCUAUGACAGGAGACGAUCAUCGAACACAGAAGAUGUAAUACUAGAGAACAAGACUCUGGAACGACGAAAAUCUUCUAUUCCAGCCGAAACUAAGAGCGAUGAUGUAGUCACGGAAGAAAUUAUUAACGUUGAAGUCAAAGAAAAUAAAAAAGCUCCAUUCGAAAGAAAGGAAUCAGCGUUUGCUGCAGAUUACAAAUCUCGCAAGGACUUCUUCGAAAAGAAAGCAACCACUCCUAUCAAUAGCGUUCCCAGCAGUCCAAGAGCUGCCCCGAAAUUCGGGACCAACUUGAAAACUACUACAAAUCAGACCGUGGAAACCAGAGAAGUUACGUCAUUCACAAGGAGGGACUCUGAGACGCGAAAGUCUCCCGAAAAAGAUCUGUCAACUCCCAGAAAGCCUUCUCUGAAAGAUUCACCAGUCGAGACACAGAGACUGCCGUCUAGCAGAAAAUCUCCUGAGAAAGAGGUACCCAGUAAAGUUGCCUCUCCCAAGGAAGACACGCCUUCCCCUCGUAAAGAUUCUCUUCCUCAAAAAGACUCCUUCACAACCCGUAGGGACUCGUUUUCGCCAAAGGAGCCCACUUCACCACAAAAAGGACCACUUUCAAGAAAACCUUCCGAAAAGGAAGUCACUCCAACUGUUACCGAAACUACACCUACUAAAGCCCUGCCGACAAGCCUCACGAAUCAACUCUUUUCAAACCUACUUUAUCAUCCUCCAGAAGAAGCUCAACGCCUAGAAAGUCUCCAGAACGACAAGCACCAAUCGAAAGACAACCAUCGUCUAAUGAGUUGCCGCAGAAUGUUCGUAAAGCUCCCGAAAAACCUA
rnacentral:lncRNA from 1 species